UUUGUUCCUGCUUUCUCUUUUUUUCUUCUAUCUGUAAAAUGUUUAAAAUAUUAGAGAACGGUGAGUGGAAGAUAACUCACAUUUAUUCCUUCAAUAAUAUUAAGUGAUGCAAUCAAAUUCUCUCUGAUAUCUUCCAUUCCCAGCUCUAUAUAAACCCUUCCAUCCCCUUAUACUUCUUCACCCAAAAUCUCAAGUUCCAAAACAAAGGAACAUGCAGUUUUAGGGCUAAUUGGUUUAUUUUUCUCCCCCAUAAUUCACUUCAACCAUUUUUGUUUUUCUGGUUCUUCAGGUUCAACAUGAAAGGUUACAUCCAAAAUAUUCAAUAAAUUUCGAUCCACCAUACAUAUAAGAUGCAUAUCGAGUUCAAAAAGGGUAAGGGAGGUGACAGAAGAGAGUGAGCACACAUGGUAUUUUCUUGUAUAGUAUUUAAUACUCGAAACUAUGUGUGCUCACUCUCUACCUGUCACCCCAAACUAUCUCUCUUGUUAUAUAUAUUUUUUUAAUUUUACUAAUAAUGUUUAUUUCUUUUGUUAUUUUAGCCUUUAUAAAUGCUAAAGAAGAGUAAUAACCCUAGCUUGCAGGUUGGGAUCAUCCUAUAACAUUUUCAUCACAGUAGGUUGUGAAAAACAAGAUCGAUCUUAUAGCUAACUUAAGGGGAUUGGGGGAGUUGCUAAAUUGUUGUAGGGUUUAUGUUUAUUGGUUGUGUAUCAUAUAUAGAUGUAUGUUUGAUAUGAAGAAUUUUUGAACCGCCAUAUUUACAAUGUAUUAGAGUUGUGUCUUGUUUGAUAUGAAGGAAAGUAGUAAUAACCAGAAAUUGCUGUACAAAAAUUGCCCAAUUUCAAUUCCCCCCAUUGAUUUAAGCAAUAAAUGAUGUGAUUAUAUGCUGUAAUUUAAGAUUUUGAUGAGUCCUAAGUAAAUUAACUUAUGACAAGAUCACAUAUAU